rnacentral:rRNA from 1 species
GGAUACGGCCAUACUGCGCAGAAAGCACCGCUUCCCAUCCGAACAGCGAAGUUAAGCUGCGCCAGGCGGUGUUAGUACUGGGGUGGGCGACCACCCGGGAAUCCACCGUGCCGUACCCU